UUAUAGUGCUAGGGGAGCCUUUGUGCUGAGAUUUGAUUUUACAUCAUAAACCCUCGGAACCUGAUCCAGUUAAUUCUGGCGUAGGGAAGUAUAACCGCUUAAUA
rnacentral:ncRNA from 2 species